GGAGGGCAGAGGCCACCCAGAUGACAGUGGAGCAAGUCUUCGUUAGCUCUGGGAGGGUCUGCAUUGUUGGCCACCAAGUUUCAUCCUUCUUGUCACCAUGGCCGACUUCACGGACUUCUUUCCACCAUGCCUGCAGCUCAGGGUCAGCUUGGAUGGCAGCAUCAUUGGGGUAGUAGAUAGAGCAGUAUUCGGUGACCCACGUCUCGAUGGCCGACCAGAUGGCAAGUCCGUCAACUGCAUAGGGGUAGUCCUCAAUCAGCAGGCGGAUCUUGUUCGGCUUGCUUAGAUCCUCGACAGCAACACCUCUCUUAAUGAGAUCAUCUGGGAGCGAUUGCUCAGUGAGCUUCCAUUCCUUGUAUGCUACAGAUGACAUCUCCAUUGUGUACCUCUCCAUGCAGACAUUUCUCUCAAGGACACCGCCAUCGUUGAUAAGGGCCUGCCGAGCCAGGGCAUUGAUGUUCAUGGUGUCACGGUAGUGGGGAAAUAGGAGCUUGUUGAUUGGAUGGACCACACUGAGAUGCCUGUUCGUUGCAAGCACAAAGGGCUCGAUCACAGCAUGUGUGUUUAGCCAAUGGCUAACAGCUUCGUGGACACCAUAAUCAUUAACGACUACAUAUGCUUUAGCCAGCUGCCAAAGAGAGUGAUCCACACCACUAUCAGCAGGAAAGUAGACCACACUGUCAGCACCGUGUUGCUCUCCAUCAGGAUGUGGCAAGCUCAGCUCAAUCACAAGUGGCUUCAGGGUGCCAUCAUCCUUGAGGAACAAUAGCGUUCUUGUUGCAUAUAUAUUGUUCGGAGUAUUGGUGUUGAUCCGUUUCACGUAUGGCAUGAAGAAGUCAUGAUGAUCCAAGAUGAAGAGCUUCCUGUUCUCCAGUGCCUGAUCAACUGUCAGCCCAUCUAGGUUGUUCUGGAUUUGGGCUGCUGUGAUGGUGCUGUCCUGAUUGCCAUAUAGACUGGGAUCAAGUUUACUCUUUGGAGGAAACUCCUGAAGUCGCUUGAUCAUCAGAGGGUGCGAGCCAGCGAGCAUUUCUCGUACAAAUUGUUCAUCAGUUCUCCAUAUAAGAUGAUCAUCUUUGAUAAUUUGGGGAGUUGGAUAUCUGAGCAGGCGCUCGCCAUCUGACCUGACGAUUUCCUUGAACAUCUCAAAGGGGAUUAGCUGACUGAGUCCUGGAAUGUUAGGCAACGGCAGCCCGAGAGAGUAGAGGUUCAUCACCUCCUGGAACGAGUCAAAGUUCUUGUCAACCAAACUCAUCAGGUUGGGCAACAGUCCCUGGACAACUCCCUUGAUCGCAUAGGUGAGGAAGUCAGACAUCUUGAUGUGGCCGAACCGUUCGUCGCGUGGGACGUAUAUGUCAAUGUUUAGAUCUGACAGCCUGCUCUCAGUGCUGGGGUCGGUUCUUGAAGGUUGGCGUCCAGUCCGACCCCGGCG
rnacentral:misc_RNA from 1 species